rnacentral:rRNA from 1 species
UGGGGAAUUUUGGACAAUGGGCGAAAGCCUGAUCCAGCAAUGCCGCGUGUGUGAAGAAGGCCUUCGGGUUGUAAAGCACUUUUGUCCGGAAAGAAAUCCUUGGCUCUAAUACAGUCGGGGGAUGACGGUACCGGAAGAAUAAGCACCGGCUAACUACGUGCCAGCAGCCGCGGUAAUACGUAGGGUGCAAGCGUUAAUCGGAAUUACUGGGCGUAAAGCGUGCGCAGGCGGUUUGCUAAGACCGAUGUGAAAUCCCCGGGCUCAACCUGGGAACUGCAUUGGUGACUGGCAGGCUAGAGUAUGGCAGAGGGGGGUAGAAUUCCACGUGUAGCAGUGAAAUGCGUAGAGAUGUGGAGGAAUACCGAUGGCGAAGGCAGCCCCCUGGGCCAAUACUGACGCUCAUGCACGAAAGCGUGGGGAGCAAAACAGGAUUAGAUACCCUGGUAGUCCACGCCCUAAAACGAUGUCAACUAGUUGUUGGGGAUUCAUUUCCUUAGUAACGUAGCUAACGCGUGAAGUUGACCGCCUGGGGAGUACGGUCGCAAAGAUUAAAAACUUAAAUGAAUUGAC